GACGAAGGAUGCAAGCGUUAUCCGGAUUCAUUGGGUUUAAAGGGAGCGUAGGUGGUCUUAUAAGUCAGUGGUGAAAUCUCUGGGCUUAACCCAGAAAUUGCCAUUGAUACUGUAGGACUUGAGUAUAGAUGCCGUUGGCGGAAUAUGACAUGUAGUGGUGAAAUACAUAGAGAUGUCAUAGAACACCGAUUGCGAAGGCAGCUGACGAAACUAUAACUGACACUGAGGCUCGAAAGUGCGGGGAUCAAACAGG
rnacentral:rRNA from 1 species